UGGGAAAGAAUAUGAAGGUGGCCUGAGGU
rnacentral:piRNA from 1 species